ensembl:lncRNA
ACACACACUUAGUCCCCAUUAACACACACACUUAGUCCCCAGCAUUAAACACACACACUUAGUCCCCCAGCAUUAAACACACACACUUAGUCCCCCAUAACACACACACUUAGUCCCCAGCAUUAAACACACACACUUAGUCCCCCAGUAACACACACACUUAGUCCCCAGUAACACACACACUUAGUCCCCAGCAUUAAACACACACACUUAGUCCCCAGUAACACACACACUUAGUCCCCAGUAACACACACACUUAGUCCCCAGCAUUAAC